rnacentral:tRNA from 1 species
GGGCCUAUAGUAUAGUGGCAAUACACAUCCAUGGCAUGGAUGGGUUUGGGGUUCGAUUCCCCAUAGGUCCA